UGGGCGAAAGCCUGAUCCAGCCAUGCCGCGUGUGUGAAGAAGGCCUUCGGGUUGUAAAGCACUUUUGUUGGGAAAGAAAUCCUGUCGGCCAAUACCCGGCGGGGAUGACGGUACCCAAAGAAUAAGCACCGGCUAACUCCGUGCCAGCAGCCGCGGUAAUACGAAGGGUGCAAGCGUUACUCGGAAUUACUGGGCGUAAAGCGUGCGUAGGCGGUUCGUUAAGUCUGUCGUGAAAGCCCUGGGCUCAACCUGCGAAUUGCGAUGGAUACUGGCGAGCUAGAGUACGGUAGAGGAUGGUGGAAUUCCCGGUGUAGCGGUGAAAUGCGUAGAGAUCGGGAGGAACACCCGUGGCGAAGGCGGCCAUCUGGACCAGUACUGACGCUGAGGCACGAAAGCGUGGGGAGCAAACA
rnacentral:rRNA from 1 species